rnacentral:lncRNA from 1 species
UCAUGAGCUUUAUAAUCUGUCAAAUGAAUGUGUAGAAUUCACUCCUAUGUGGUUAUUUCAUUAAAAAAAAGGGAGAUCUAUAUAAAAUAACCACCAUAUUUAAAGAUUACACAUUACAAAUAUGAUAAAACAAUUUGUGAUUUGGAACAAGCAUCAAAAGCAUGAUAGAAUAAUUAUUUUAUCAUAUACCUAAUAGACCAGAUUGUGUGAUCAUUAUGUGCCCUUGUGCAAGACUUCAAUCUAACUCUAAUGAAUCAUAAUUUAUUGAUAACAAAUGAAUCAUAAUCUGAAUUUUGAUAGAAACAAUUGUUUAAGGCAAUUUGAUCAAAACUUAGCUAGCAUGCCUU